rnacentral:rRNA from 1 species
GUCUUAAAGAAAUUAAUUUUAAGUCUAAUCUGCCCAAUGAAAUUUUAAAUGGCUGCAGAAUCUAUAACUGUACAAAGGUAGCAUAAUAAUUUGUUUUUUAAUUAAAAACUUGAAUGAAAGAUUAAAUAAAAUAUAAACUAUUUCAAAUAAAAAUAUUAAAAUUUUUAUUUAAGUAAAAAAACUUAAAUAUAUUUAAAAGACGACAAGACCCUAUAGAAUUUAAAUUAAUAUAUUAAUAUAAUCUAUAAAUUAUUUAAUUAAAUUAAUAAAUUAAUUUUAAUUGGGGCAAUUUAUAAAUUUAACUAAUUUUUUACUAAUAUACAAAAAUAUUUGUUUAAAAAAUCUAAUAAUAUUAAAUAUAAAAUUAAUUACCUUAGGGAUAACAGCAUAAUUUUUUUUAAAAGACCUUAUUAAUAAAAAAGAUUAU